rfam:Triticum aestivum genome assembly, contig: Triticum_aestivum_CS42_TGACv1_scaffold_150214_2BS
AAAGUACUCCCUCCGUCCCAAAAUUCUUGUCUUAGAUUUAUCUAGAUACGGAUGUAUCAAGUCACAUUUUAGUAUUAGAUACAUCCGUAUCUAGACAAAUCUAAGACAAGAAAUUUGGGAUAGAGGGAGUAGUUG